GUGUAAUAUGAAAGCAGAGAAGGAUAACAUUCCCCUACAAGGAUGAAAGAGGCCUUUGGGCCUAACAACACACAUAAGGUUAAGGCAUUGCCACCUACUUGUGUGGCAUCUAACCACAGUUUUUG